rnacentral:misc_RNA from 1 species
AGCAGAGUUCCUGUGUACUCUGGCAAUCCAAAGAAUAUUAUUGGUCUACUUCUGGUAAAAAGUCUUCUUACAGUGCGGCCGGAAACAGAGACGCCAGUUAGUUCUGUUUCAAUUCGAAGAAUUCCUCGAGUUCCUGCUGAUAUGCCGUUGUAUGACAUACUAAAUGAGUUCCAAAAGGGUAGCAGUCAUAUGGCUGCAGUAGUG